AAUGCUUAUGAUGAUAAAAUAUCAUAUUUAAUGAAUUUUAGUGAUUGUUAAUUACAUGCACUACCAACUGAUGCAUU